rnacentral:pre_miRNA from 1 species
GAUUCCUGGCAGAGUGAUUUGGAUAUGUAUGGUACAAAAUCACAUUGCCAGGGAUUUCCA